rnacentral:lncRNA from 10 species
GAAAAAGAAAUAAACAAAACCACCUCAAACUCAGUAUUUUAAAGAACAUCUUUCAUUGUCAUUCAUUAAUCUGCAGAUUGGCAAGAGGUUGGCUGAUCUAGGCUGGGUUUGGCUUGGCCAGCAGUUCUACUUCAGGCUGCAUGUCCAUCUGGGCUUAGCUCCUUGCUAAAGGACAGGCUGAAAUCUGCUUACAUAUAUUUAUUCUGGAUCCCAGGCCGAAGGUGCAGCUCUUCUUAUGGAGAUAGCAGAGACACAAGAGACCAAGCUCAACUACACAAGCAUAUUUCAUGUCUCUGCUUACGUCACAUCUGUCAUUAUCCCAUUGGCCAAGGUGGAAGGAUCAAUAGCUGAGUGUGUCUUCGGGAACUAAGUGACAAAACAACACUAACAUACUCCAGUGAAAAGCACCACAUUUCUCUAGCCAUGGUCAAUAUUUGAAGGUGGCAAAACACAGAGGUGAGUCCUUCUUUGGGCAUAUCUAUGUCCCUUCAAAUAUUCUGAAGCAUGGAUCCCCAUCUAAAUGCCAAGGGUACGGUAGUUUUUCCAAAGAGCUAAGAAACAGUGCUAGACGUAUAAAGGAGUCCUGUUAGAGGCUGCCAUGGAAGUAAAGAAUGAACAGGUAGGCUCCAUCUCCUCCCCACCUGUACUUGAAGGAUUUCGGUUUUAAUCUGUUUUAUACAUCAGAAUUUUCUGAAAUACAUCAUUUGAAUAACAGGUCCAAGGAUUUAAAAAGCUUGCAAAUCAAACAACAAAAAGACAAGCAGCCCAGGCAAAAAAAUGGGCAAAGGAGUUGAAUAGAAAUUUCUCCAAAAAAGAUAUAGAAAUGGUCAAUAAGCACAUAAAAAGAUGUUCAACUUAUUAAUCAUUAGGGAAAUGCAAAUCAAAACCAGAAUGAGAUACUGCUACACACCCAUUAGCAUGGCUAUUAUUUAAAACAACACACACAAAAACCUAAACCUUAUACAUUACUGGAGAGAAUGUAAAACAGUACAGCUGCUAUGUAAAAUGGUAUGCUAGCUCCUUGAAAAAUUGAAAAAUAGAAUUAUCAUGUGAUCUAACAAUUCCACUUCCAGGUACAUACAUGAAAGAAUUGAAAAUAGGGACUUGAACAGAUAUUUGUACACCCAUGCCCAUAGCAACAUUGUUCACAAUAGCCAAUGAUGAAUGGAUAAACAAAAUGUGGUAUAUACACACAAUGAAAUGUUAUUCAGCCCUAAAAUGGAAGGAAAUUCUGACACAUGCUGCUACAUGGAUGAACCUUCAGGAUAUUAAGCUAAGUGAAAUAAGCCAGUCACAAAAAGACAAACACUGUAUGAUUCUACUUAUAUGAGGUACUUAGAGUAGCCAAAUUCAUACAGACAGAAAGAAGAAUGGGGGAUUGGAGGGUCUAUGGGGAGGGAGUAAUGGGGCAUUAUUGUUUAAUGUGUACAGAGUUUUAGUUGGGAAGACGAAAAAUUUCUGGGGAUGGAUGGAUUGUAGUGAUGGUUGCACAACAGUGUGAAUGUACUUAAUGCCACCAAACAGUACAGUUAAAAAUAGUUCAAAUGGUAAAUUUUAUCACAAUUUUUAAAACUUUGAAAACAUGUUCUGUGAGACCUUACAGCUUUGUUGAUAAUGAGAAGAAAUCUUUUGCAAUUUAUGAGGCAGGACACCCUUCAUGAAAUGGUUCCAAUAUGCCUUUUAGGAUCAAAAAUUUAUGAUUUAAAAUUUUUUUUAAUUAAUUAAUCAAUUUUGAGAUGGAGUUUUGCUCUUGUUGCCCAGGCUGGAGUGCAAUGGCGUGAUCUCGGCUCACCGCAACCUCUGCCUCCCAGGUUCAAGCGAUUCUCCUGCCUCAGCCUCCCAAGUAGCUGGGAUUACAGGCAAGUGCCACCACCCCUGGCUAAUUUUGUAUUUUUAGUAGAGACAGGGUUUCUCCACGUUGAUCAGGCUGGUCUCGAACUCCCAACCUCAAGUGAUCCUCCGGCCUUGACCUCCCAAAGUGCUGGGAUUACAGGUGUGAGCCACUGUGCCCAGCCAAUUUUUUUAUUUUCUAAGUGUAAACACUUUGCUUGGCAUGAACCACACAGAAACACACUGGGACCUCAGCACACAUUCAAGGAUCAAAUUCAUCCUAGGGGAGAGCUCAGAAAAUAGGACACAAAAUAUGUUUGAGUAUGGAGAAAGGCCUACAGCUUUGAGGGCUGGAUGGUACCUAGCUUCACCCAUUGGGGUCAAAAUUGUUGACCUGUGUUGCCAGUAGCUUCCAUGAUGGUUUACUACAAGUACACAUUGAUAUGUGGGGCCAGACAGAGGCAAGAGAGAAGAGUAAAAGGCAAGUGAAAGAUCUAGUUUCCCAUAUGUGUGUCAGGUUUCCAUAAAUGAGAUGGUUUAUGAAAGAGUCCCUAGACCUCAGGACCCAUCACUUAGCUUGAAGUCCUCUCAGUCCAGAGCUGCACCAGUCUUUCAAAUCAGCCAGUCCCAUCUUCCCUGGGCAAGGCCUGUGAACAGAAAAUUAAUUACAUUCAUGUCCCCAACAGAUACAUUGAAGGACUUCCACUCCACAUUGUGAGAAAAUGACAUAUUUUGAUAACCCAAUAAGUAUAGCAUGAGCCAAUAAGUCACAGCAGAAGGAGC